CCUACGGGAGGCAGCAGUGAGGAAUAUUGGUCAAUGGACGAGAGUCUGAACCAGCCAAGUAGCGUGAAGGAUGACUGCCCUAUGGGUUGUAAACUUCUUUUAUAUGGGAAUAAAAUGUUCCACGUGUGGGAUUUUGUAUGUACCAUAUGAAUAAGGAUCGGCUAACUCCGUGCCAGCAGCCGCGGUACUACGGAGGAUCCGAGCGUUAUCCGGAUUUAUUGGGUUUAAAGGGAGCGUAGGUGGAUUGUUAAGUCAGUUGUGAAAGUUUUCGGCUCAACCGUAAAAUUGCAGUUGAAACUGGCAGUCUUGAGUACAGUAGAGGUGGGCGGAAUUCGUGGUGUAGCGGUGAAAUGCUUAGAUAUCACGAAGAACUCCGAUUGCGAAGGCAGUUCACUGGACUGCAACUGACACUGAGGCUCGAAAGUGUGGGUAUCAAACAGGAUUAGAUACCCCAGUAGUC
rnacentral:rRNA from 1 species